GGCCUCCUGGUGCUUACCAGAGGCUGUGUUCUUAUACUCACUGUGUAGAAAGAGGAGGGACAUUAAACCCACCCUAUAUACACCUCAGUCCAGGAUCUGUGUCUAUAAAUGGGAAGAUGAGG
rnacentral:snoRNA from 1 species